UGCAAAUCAAUAUAAAUUGAAUAAAUUUAUUAAUAUUUAUUUAUUUUAUGUAUUAUUGUUUUAUUUAUUUUAUAUUAAAAAUAAUUAUAUAAUUAAUUAUGUUUUAGUAGUGUUUAAUGAAAAAAUAAUUUUUAUAAUAGUUAAUUUGUAUUGUGAAAGAUUAUUGAAAUAAAUUGAAAAAUUUUUAUUAAAAAAGAAAAGUUAAUUAUUUGUACCUUGUGUGUCAGGGUUUAUUAAAAAUUUAAUAAUUAUUAUUAUUAAUCUCGAUUUUAUAAGAGUUAAUAAUUUAUGAAAGUUAAUGUAUUAAAAUUAUUUUAAAUAAAUUAUUAGAAAUGAAAUGUUAUUCGUUUAUGAAGGUAUCUAGUUUUUUUAGAAAUUAGUCGAAUUUACAAGUUUUUAAUUUUUGAAUUAAUUAAUUAAUUCAAAAAUUUAUUAAUUUGAAUAUUUUAAGGGAUAAGCUUUAAAAUAGAUUAUUAUAAAUACUUUAAAAUUUAAUUUUAAAUAUAUGCAUAGAAUUAGCAAUUAUUAAUAAAUUUGUUAUAAAUUAUUUUAUAUUUAUAUUAUUUAUUAGUUAUUUUGAUUAUUUAUAAAAAUUUUAAUAAUAAUUUUUUUUGUUAAGUAAUAAUGAUAAAAUUAGUAUAUAAUUAAUGUUGUAAUAAAUUAAUUUGAUAAGUUUAUGUAAAGAAUUCGGCAAAAUUUAUGCUCGCCUGUUUAACAAAAACAUGUCUUUUUGAGUUAUUUUUAAAGUCUAACCUGCCCAAUGAAUAAUUUUUAAUGGCNGCAGUAUCUUAACUGUGCAAAGGUAGCAUAACAUUAGUCUUUUAAUUGAAGGCUUGUAUGAAUGGUUGAACGAAGUAUAAUCUGUUUCAUAUAAAUUUAUUUUAGAAUUUUAUUUUUUAGUUAAAAAGCUAAAAUUUUGUUAAAAGACGAGAAGACCCUAUAAAUCUUUAUAUUUUUAUAUAUUUUAAUUUUAUAGUUUUUAUUGAUUUUAAUAUUUAUAAAAUAUUUUAUUGGGGUGAUAUUAAAAUUUAAUGAACUUUUAAUUUAAAAAAUCAUUAAUUUAUGAAUUUAUGAUCCUUUAUUAAUGAUUAUAAGAAUAAGUUACUUUAGGGAUAACAGCGUAAUUUUUUUGGAGAGUUCUUAUUGAUAAAAAAGUUUGCGACCUCGAUGUUGGAUUAAGAGAUAUAUUUUGGUGUAGUUGCUAAAAUAAUAAGUCUGUUCGACUUU
rnacentral:rRNA from 1 species